CGCGGACCCGAGACGGCCGCUGUGCGGCGAGCAAUCGCCGCGCAGAGGAAAGUCCGAACACCGCAAGGCAACGCGCCGCGUGUCAAACGCGGGAGGCGAUGGCGCAAGCCGCCGCCGACGGACCAGUGUCACAGAAAACAUACCACCGGCUGCCGCAAGGCGACCGGCCAGGGUGAAAAGGCGAGGUAAAAGCUCACCGCCCGGACCGCAAGGGACGGGGCAGGAAAAACCCCGCGUGGUGCAAGACAGAACAGGGGAAACGGACCGCCUGUCCGGCCCGGCACGGCAGCUUCGGCUGCCAGGCUGGAUGACCCCGGGUAAUAGUCGCCCCCGGCUUCGGCCGGGAGUCUCACCCCGUGUGGGGCUAGAGGAAUGGCCAUCGCCCGGCUGGCAACGGCCGGGAACAAAAUUCGGCUUAUGACGGUCCGCGGAGA
rnacentral:RNase_P_RNA from 1 species